rnacentral:rRNA from 1 species
AUGCAGGCUCGGAUGCAGGUGCAAGUCAACAAUGCCAGUAGUGAGUCGAGAGAAGUGGAGAAGAGGGUCCCUCCAGGCUCCAUACAUGAAUGGUGUAUGUCGAAUGUCUUGGGUAAACUUUUGCUUUUCCUUCAUUUCUUUAUCUUCGAGUCAACAAUGCGAGUAGUGAGUCGAGAGAAGUGGAGAAGAGGGUCCCUCCAGGCUCCAUACAUGAAUGGUGUAUGUCGAAUGUCUCGGGUAAACUUUUGCUUUUCCUUCAUUUCUUCAUCUUCAGUUGAAGAAUCGUCCCUCCACUGUCAUCUUGAAGGGUGGCAUGCGGCAAUGUCGGGGAAAGCAAGGAAGAUGUUCUUGUACAUCAUCGAACAUAUAAACCCUGGUGGCCAAACUAAAUGUUUUAUAUUCCUUUGGGAAACUUUUAAGGAAAUCCUCCCAAACAAAUCAUUCAGAUAA